rnacentral:lncRNA from 1 species
CGCACAUCAGUAACAGUCUUUCACACAGAAGCACACAGCCCAGGACCAGUGACUGCUAUUGGGUCCACCUGGAGCAGCAUUGUGACUUCAGCGUGGCCUUGCCCUUCGGCUAUUACAAGAGAUCAGAACCUCAGCAGCCAGUGUUGAAAAAGGACUUGGAGACUAUCAUAGCCCGGGAUCAAGACCUUCAAGAACUGAUACAAGGACUGGUGGCCCCAGCAACUCGGCCCCCACUAACCUUGAAGCAGCGCCACAAAGCCUUCGACAAUUACUUACGUUUGGUCUAUGGGUCUGACCUGAUGGUAGGUAUGAAAUCAGGCCCAGGCUCUGCCAGGACCUUCACCUUGUCUGACACAAGCCUCCUGUUCUUUCCUGUACCAGGACAUAAACCCGGAAAGGGAAUCCCAGCAGUGGGGCACUUCAGCCCUUUCCACAGAGAAGGAGUCAUCGGACCAGGAGAGCCAGCCUGGACCUGUCAUGAUUGUCGGGCAGGCUGCAUUUAGCAAUGAUGUUCAGCCAGUGUUCCCACUCUCAUUCCCCCAACCCCCGGGGGGAGCUCCAGGAAAGCGCUUUGCCCGCCCUCCCCGAGUCUCCUUGCCCAUUCCACCCACCUACCGGAGGGUGCAUAGCCGGGCAUCCCAGGUGAGGUCCCCUUUACUUCCAAUAUCCACCCAUGCCUGGACAUUGUGUUCCCUGGUCCAACACCUUCUAACUCCUCGUAUACCCUAGCUUCUAGCACGUUCCUCCCUGAGCUGUGAGCUGGGCCUUGGCUUGGACCUACAGGUGCAAUGGGAUCAGUUUGCAGUCAAGGCCAUAGACCUGGACGCAUCAAUCGACUACAUGAAGAAUAGGGUGAGGGCCCCUAUUCUAGGGCAGUUCCAGGGGCUUUGGUGGUCGUGUUUUAUUCUUACUUCCUAUCCCUCCCCAGGUUCCACUGUUGCUGCAAAGAAAGCCCGCAGAGCCUCUCUCAAAGCUCAUGGGCUUCUUUCCUGCUACCAUAAA